UGGGGAAUAUUGCACAAUGGGCGCAAGCCUGAUGCAGCCAUGCCGCGUGUGUGAAGAAGGCCUUCGGGUUGUAAAGCACUUUCAGCGAGGAGGAAGGUGGUGAGCUUAAUACGCUCAUCAAUUGACGUUACUCGCAGAAGAAGCACCGGCUAACUCCGUGCCAGCAGCCGCGGUAAUACGGAGGGUGCAAGCGUUAAUCGGAAUUACUGGGCGUAAAGCGCACGCAGGCGGUUUGUUAAGUCAGNUGUGAAAUCCCCGGGGCUCAACCUGGGAACUGCAUUUGAAACUGGCAAGCUAGAGUCUCGUAGAGGGGGGUAGAAUUCCAGGUGUAGCGGUGAAAUGCGUAGAGAUCUGGAGGAAUACCGGUGGCGAAGGCGGCCCCCUGGACGAAGACUGACGCUCAGGUGCGAAAGCGUGGGGCAGCAAACAGGAUUAGAUACCCUGGUAGUCCACGCUGUAAACGAUGUCGAUUUGGAGGUUGUG
rnacentral:rRNA from 1 species